rnacentral:rRNA from 1 species
AGUGAACGCUGGCGGUAGGCCUAACACAUGCAAGUCGAACGGCAGCACAGUAAGAGCUUGCUCUUACGGGUGGCGAGUGGCGGACGGGUGAGGAAUACAUCGGAAUCUACUUUUUCGUGGGGGAUAACGUAGGGAAACUUACGCUAAUACCGCAUACGACCUACGGGUGAAAGUAGGGGAUCUUCGGACCUUGCGCGAUUGAAUGAGCCGAUGUCGGAUUAGCUAGUUGGCGGGGUAAAGGCCCACCAAGGCGACGAUCCGUAGCUGGUCUGAGAGGAUGAUAAGCCACACUGGAACUGAGACACGGUCCAGACUCCUACGGGAGGCAGCAGUGGGGAAUAUUGGACAAUGGGCGCAAGCCUGAUCCAGCCAUACCGCGUGGGUGAAGAAGGCCUUCGGGCUGUAAAGCCCUUUUGUUGGGAAAGAAAAGCAGCAGGUUAAUACCCCGCUGUUCUGACGGUACCCAAAGAAUAAGCACCGGCUAACUUCGUG